GCCCAGGUGGUGAAAUUGGUAGACACGCUACUUUGAGGGGGUAGUGGGCGUUUAGCCCGUGUGAGUUCGAGUCUCGUCCUGGGCA
rnacentral:tRNA from 1 species